rnacentral:rRNA from 1 species
UACAGAGGUCCCAAGCGUUGUUCGGAUUUACUGGGCGUAAAGGGUGCGUAGGCGGCGCGGAAAGUUCGGGGUGAAAUCUCCAGGCUCAACCUGGAAACUGCCCUGAAUACUUCCGUGCUUGAGGGCCGCAGAGGAGAUUGGAAUUCUCGGUGUAGCAGUGAAAUGCGUAGAUAUCGAGAGGAACAUCAGUGGCGAAAGCGAAUCUCUGGGCGGCAUCUGACGCUGAGGCACGAAAGCCAGGGGAGCAAACGGG